rnacentral:misc_RNA from 1 species
UGGUGGUUCCAUGAUGAUAAAGUGUAAUAACAGAGGUGUCUCCAAGUGUAAUAACGGAGGUGUCUCCCUGCACAUUAGUUCAAAUAAUUUUAGUAGAUGGCCUUUUUUUUGCAAAGGACACUGAAAACACAAGGCGAAGCAUUGUGCAAACAAACUCAUUCUGAAUGUGCAUUACCUUCUGUAAGUGGGAAUGCCUAAUGUGUAACGGAAGAGGAAUAAUGUGUUUUUAGUAACAAAUGACGAACAAACUUGGUUCUCUGGUUACUUUGCAAUUUA